rnacentral:lncRNA from 1 species
GUCAAUCAUCAAAUCUCAAACUAUUAUUACUGGUAUAGUGCGUGUGUGCUCAACAUCCAUGCUAACUGAUAUAAUGCUAAAUACAACACAUAAUAGAUCUCUUUAAAGGCAUCAUACAGUGCAAACUCAUAAAAUUCACGAACAAGCUAAAUCCAACUAAAUUCAAACAUCCACCAAAUUCAAGAGUCCAAUCCGGGAUACUUAUGUUUUACCUUGCAUUACGGGGACUUUUUGCUUUUUUCCCGUUUUAUUAUUUUUUUUUAACCAUAACUGUGCAAUGUCUCAUUCCAUUAGGCUAACAGUGCUACCCCUUAGCGAGCUUUCGACCAACGACUCCCAGACCAUAUAAGACCUUAGGGCGCUAGGUGUAAAGAUAAUCCCCUCGGGCGUACUUGCUCAAGUAACAAAGGCCCCGAAACAAGACUAACCACGAUAUUUUUUUUUCAUCAUUUUUUUCUUUUUUUUCUUUUUUUUUUCUUUUUUUUAAGCUUAUAUAUCCCAAAUCUUUCCCCCAAACUUAAGUUUUUGUCUAAAUUUAGCCAUCUCCGCCUGUUCAUGUCUUUCAUUCAUUCAAACUAAUAUUAUCCUUAAGAAGUCAAUUAUGUAUCAAUUUAAACUUAAUCAGUCAACAAAGUUGUUUCUAACGUGCUAACCUUGAUUAUACCAGUUUCAAACAGGAAAAGAUUCAAUUAAUAACAAGAAAUCACAUUAAAGUUCUAAUAAUCAGUACUAUUCUUGUCUACUCAAUUCCAAUCUCAUCAUUGGCCAAAAUAAACUGAACUAUCUAACAGCUGGAAUCAUGCAAGAAGAACAUAGUAACUAACUAUUAUUUUUGAAUUUUUGAUUAUUUUUUUUAUUUACAAGAAACUGAAUAUAAUGCUAUUCAAACUAUACUACUAUGCAACUACUUAUAUUUAUAAUAAAAAGAUAGUGAAUACCUUCAUUGUGUUGUGUUUUUAAUGGAAUGAUUGUAUAGUUAUGAGUACCGUGUAGCACCAUAUGUUGGGUUGGAAGAUACCCGAAUUUGGGGGCGUCACAGGCUUCCCAUCUAGACAUUUUAUAAUGGGUUAUCCGGAUCUACUCGAUUGAGUAUAGAUGCCUCCUCUAGAG